ensembl:lncRNA
UCUUCAGCAACAUGAGGAGAGCUGAAAGCAGGAAGGCUCUGCCCACUGCAGGUGGUGGCAGAGGGGACAUUCGCUAGUGUUUUCUGAGGCUCCUUUCCAGCUGAGUGGAGAUAUGGCUAAUGGCAGCUUAGCUGUAAUGCUGCAUUUCUGCAUCACUGAAGCUCCAAGCCUCCCCCUGCACCCCAGAUUCCUCCGUCUGGUUCUCAGCUUAUCCUCAGCACACUGGUUUUGAAGAAAAUGCUGGCAAUCAAUGGAAAAAUUGUUUGCAGGACAAAAUUUAACUCCCACAUGGUAUGAAAUGGUAUUAUACAGUGCCACUACAUAUUAACAGAUUCAAAGCCCCAGUUCCCACUUCGUGAUGAAUCCAAGUUCAGCUUCGCUUCUGUUAGCACCACAGAGAAAUCUCAGACAAGAUAGAUGCCUGCAGCCAGAAGAAGCCUUAAAUUGAACACC